rnacentral:rRNA from 4 species
CAGUGGCGAACGGGUGAGUAACACGUGGGGAAUCUGCCCUGAACUCUGGGACAAGCCUUGGAAACGAGGUCUAAUACCGGAUACGACCUUCUCCUGCAUGGGGGUUGGUGGAAAGCUCCGGCGGUUCAGGAUGAUCCCGCGGCCUAUCAGCUUGUUGGUGGGGUAAUGGCCUACCAAGGCGACGACGGGUAGCCGGCCUGAGAGGGCGACCGGCCACACUGGGACUGAGACACGGCCCAGACUCCUACGGGAGGCAGCAGUGGGGAAUAUUGCACAAUGGGCGAAAGCCUGAUGCAGCGACGCCGCGUGAGGGAUGACGGCCUUCGGGUUGUAAACCUCUUUCAGCAGGGAAGAAGCGCAAGUGACGGUACCUGCAGAAGAAGCACCGGCUAACUACGUGCCAGCAGCCGCGGUAAUACGUAGGGUGCGAGCGUUGUCCGGAAUUAUUGGGCGUAAAGAGCUCGUAGGCGGCCUGUCGCGUCGGAUGUGAAAGCCCGGGGCUUAACCCCGGGUCUGCAUUCGAUACGGGCAGGCUAGAGUGUGGUAGGGGAGAUCGGAAUUCCU